AGUCACUUUGGUUUCUUCAUCAGCAUGUUUGAAUGCCUGAUAUAACUGAAGAGGUAGGAGACAUUGCCCUUCAUCUCCACCCUGGCUGUUGUGGUGGUGCUGUGCUGGUCCAUAAGCCUUCUUGGGGGCUUCUUUCCAAGUCUGUCUACUCUACAUUUCUUACAAUGCAGGUAUUUUAGAAUGAUUCACCACCCAGGUGCAUAAAUACCAUGAAGGCAGAAAAGAGAAAGCACCAGAGGGACAGAAGGUGACCAGAAAGGCAUUAUCACUCCCAUUGGAUCAUGACCAUUCCAGCGUUUCAAAAUAGAUGAACACAGGUGGUGGUGGUGCAUCAGCCCUACUGCGCAUGUCCCAGCUGUGAGUAGGUAUGUGAGCAUUCUGCUGGUAGCUGGGAGCUGCUACUGGAAUAUUGGGAAAAAAGGUGACAUGGUGAAUAGACCCACCUCUGAAGAGCCUGGACAUAAGCUCAAGUCUUGGCAUGCUGGUGAAGCCUGUAUAUAUAGCAGUGACCUAACCCACAGGAAUUGUGUAACUGCAUGCUGUCACAGGAGCAGGGGGGCUAAGGGCAGUGAGAGGUUAGAGACAUGCUUGUCUGGGACAUCUGGGAUGCACAUUUUAGGUUGCUGGACUCUAAAGCUAAUAGAAGAUGCAUGGCUGCCAUCUGAUUUCCUGCUUCAGUAACUUGAUUUAUUGUAAUAAAGAGUGCUGGUAUUCAAGCUGAUAGAGAAGGGAGAUGGGUCACUUGGGGGACUUGUAUCUGAGGACCAUGAGUUCAACACAUCAGAGGAUUUGCUUGUGCACAGAGAAUUAACCGUGGGCAAAUAAAGCUGUAUUGAGCCUUGUAGCAGUGCUACAAAACAGCAGUCUUGGUCCAAAAGAAGAUGUGGCUUCUAACUUCUUUUUGUGUGUUCGUCUUCUUGCUGUGCUCACUGAUGUGGGCAUUCAAGGCAAAAGGUGGUCUUGCUAAUUUUUCUUUCCUUCAAUUUUCAGCUCAGAAAAAAAAAAAAAAAACCAACAAAACUCUCUGUUUCUCUUUUGUUGUGCUAGGUGAGCAUCUGGCAAGAAAAACCCUGGAGCUUAGCAUAUGUAGUUAAUGCCAAAGGACAGAGAGCCUCUGAUACCUGUUCAUUCAGAGAAGCCCGACUGGGGCUGGACUCUGCUGAUACAGAGAGAGAAGAGAACCACGAAGGGCUGCUUAACAAUACGUAGCCAGUAACAAAUGUGCCCUUCAAUUAAUGUUAGAAACACUUUAAAUCAAAAUGUUUUCGUUCCCCCUUCAUUGAUUUUGUAAUCUUGGUGAAAUCACUCAUUCCCCUAAUUGGCUGAUGAAAUAAUUAGUUGACUCUGACAUUCACUUGGACUUCUUCUAAUUAGAAACUCUAUUCCAACAGAUGUCAUGUCAAAACAGGUUUCUGUCUGAGAAUUAACAGCAGUCAUCUUUUCCUGUAUAACUUACUGAACAUCUUCUUUCUCUAUUCAGAAAGGAUUGUCUAACUUUUUUCAACUUUUUUAACAGCAAUUAACUGAUGAAGAUUUGGGUCUAGUUGAAUACAGUAUGACAAUAUUUUAUUUUGACUUGGGCCUAAAGUAUUGUAAAUCAACACUUCAAAUAUGUUAAUCUUGUCCCAAAACAGGCAAACCAGCAUUUUAAAUUACCAUCUAGAUAGUUUUCAAAGAACUAAGAUCAGUCUGCUUUAAAACUAUAAUUCCCUUAUUAAAAGAACCCUUUAAACUUUUUUUAAAAUAUCAUCCUAUUAAUAAUAAUUUAAACAUUGCUUUGUGAAUGCAAAUGCCAAUAGCUACCUUCAGAAAUAUUCCUUGAUUAAAAAAAACAACCUUUUGAAGAUCAUUUCAUUGUCAUUAGUGUCUGGAAAAUUUGUAAUAUGUCUUGUAAUACUUUUGCAUGUGAACACAAAAUGCAAUCCACCAACCCCAAUUUACUGAUGUAAAUGAGCUGCAUUCAUUUUAUUCCUGCAUAAAUUUAUAUUCUUCUGCCUGUGAUACAAGAGAAAAAUGUCACCAAAAAAAGUUGUUUUUAGGUAGUUCAUGUGAAUAAUGUUGCAUGUACAUGAAUGGAAAGUAUAACAUCUCUGAAAUAAUUCUGAUGCAAGCAAUCUGCUUCCCAACUGGAGCCCAGGGGGAGAUGCAAUGCAUUUUACUGUUUUACUGCUCAUGGGAUGUUGUUUCUCAGAAGGACUCUGAAGGCAAUACUGGUUGUUCAUGAAGCAUGGCAAGUGGUAAAUUAAAUGCAUCGCUAAAAAUAUAGGAGUCUAGGCUCUUUAGAGCUUUGCAAAAUUCUUACUUGGCUGAAGUUAUUCUCCUAAACUAAUUUUAUCACUCAAUAUAACACUCUUUGCUUUUAAUAAUGUAGCAGUGAAAGAAAAUUACUUCAGGUAGCCUGCCUAAUGCACUUGGCUAAUGGUCAUAACCAAGCAGUAAAAGAUGACUAUCUGUAUAUUCCAGCAUAUUUUGCCAAGAUGUGUGGAGUGAGUAAGAGAGCCUUGAACAGUAUGAACAAUACUAGAAAAAUAAAUAGGGAUUAUGUGUACGUCAUUUUCUAUAUUUUAGUACUUGAGCCUGCAAAGAAAUAAAAAUAUGAUAACAUAGGAAGAUCCCAUCAGGGGGACACAAUCUCCUAAACAGCUACUCUUGUGAUAAUAUUUGUUUUCAGACCCAUUUCAUGCGUGGGAAAAUCCUUCAUGGAGAUUGUUUUUGUCCCCUAAGAAACAGAAUUCUGUGACAGUGGGGUGGAAAUUAAAAUCCUAUACCUUUGAUGGCCUUCUGCUCCUCCAACCUGAUACAAGAAGAAUAGGCAGAAAGAAAUACCACUUGAAAUGAAGCUGCUGUGGAAAGUCUAAAGCAUACUUUAUGAUACUGUUUUACAUGUUUUUCUAUGCUCUGUUUCUAGCUCCUUUGCAUUCAGCUCCUGCACUUUUGCUAGAUCUGUCUUCAAUAUCCCAGCUUUUUCAGACACUGAUUAUAUCUUAAUUUUGGGUUUAUGACCCACAAGUGGUGUGAAAUAUUGCCUGGUUUAUUUGCUUAUAGUUUGGCUUUGUCUGUCCAUGAAAGAGCCAAAUCUCACUUCUGUGGUGGAGGUUUGCUCUGCAGAGUGUUGCAGAAUGGCUUUUGUCCUCUCUCUGAAGCUCUGGGAGUGCUAUUCUAGGCAGUCUCAACCUGUAGCUGAUCUGUUGUUAGCUUUGAGCUCUGGCUAUUUUCAUGCCUGGUGCCCACAGCUGUUGCCUUGGGGUUUUGGGAGGAGAAAGUUUGUUUGUUGUUUGUUUGUUUGUUUGUUGUAGUGUUACUCCAGCCUGUCAGGGCACCCAAGGAAUUUUUACAAAUAUUACUUUUUUUCCCCAGUCCUCCGGUAUGUAACCAAAUAAUUUUGCACUGUAAACUUUGCAUGUGCUGGGAAAAAGCUCAAAUUUUUUUGCAUUAUUGCAAUUUUGCAUAGAUGGAACACUGCUGUCUCUUUCUUCCUCUCGGGAUACACUUAACAUGUGAUUUCUUCUUGUGUGUUUGUGCACUUAUCAUUAUUAUCAUCACUUAUUCAUCAUAAUAUUUUCCCCCGUCUGGCUCAAUCAUGCAGUUGUCUGACAUUUAAGAUACUUAGAUUUCUCCUACAAUUUGUGUCCUUACUUCAGGUACCUGCAAUCAUGACAUGAUGUUUUUUUUCGUUAGAGUGUACUGUGUGCGCAUAACUCUCACUUGAGCAGGUAAGUUAAGCACACUUGAUAUUUUUUCUUUAAUGUCUCUGCCUCCAGGACGACUUUGAAGCAGUUGAUCUUCCUUUAUUCUUGUCUCUCUUCUCAGUGUUCAUUACAUGAAUAUCUUAAUUUACUGGACUGAACAUUUCUUAACAUUUAGCAUGGGCACAGGUGUCAUGUCCCGAACACAGCUGGAUUCAACCAAAACAUCUAAAAAUGUGACAAUUUCAAGCUGUCCAACCUGACCUCCUGGAAGCUGCACCAUACAAGAUAUAGGUUCUGUACAAGAUAUAGGUUCUGCAUUGCUGUCUGCAGCCUGACAUACGAAGGUGCCCCUGAAUGAGGCUUGGAUUGGCUUGGAUAUACUGACAAAAAUGCUGUAAUGAUUCCAGAAUCACCUCUAUCCCACUCAGCUCUCCUUGCUGUAAGGACAGAAACUGGGAGUAUUUAUAGAGGGAUGGAAGUCUUUCCAGCUUUUUCUGUUCAAUUCAUGUGUGCUAGUGUGCUCUCUGUUUGCUUUUGAACAUUGCUGAUUUGAAAUUAUUUCCUAAAACUAACCAUAAAAUUUGCUAUAUUACUGCUAUUUACUUGACAAGGAUACAGCUGAGUGAACAGUAGUACUACUGAUAAAUUUCCAGAAUAAGUGUACUGUGGACAAAGUCUUAUAGGGACAAUAUAAUAUUUUGUUUUUAGGGGCUUACUUAGAAGUGUAUUAAUAUAAUUAUUUGUUUUUCUAAGUUGGAAAGAAUGGAGUGUGCUAGUAGCACUAAUAACAUUUACAUUGAUUGCAUUCUUUUAGAAGUGGAUGAGACAAGCAUAGGUUAAUUAAAACUGACCAGAAAAUCAACCAUACAACAGCUGUGUAUGAACACCUUUAAUGCAAUAGUCACCUCUUUGCACAGAAGUGCUAGCUCUAUAAAAUCUGUUAUGGAGCUUAAAUUGGUAGUGUAAGAUGUCUGCAGUGGUCUUUGAUGAAAAAUGCAGUUGUUACACAAGACGCCGUGGUAGAACAGCAGCAAUUAACACCAACACUUUUCAGGGAUCUGAAGCUUUUUUUUUUUGGUAAGGAUUACAGCCGAAUAAUUAUGGCAUCUAUUUUUGAGACAGCACUGGGAAUGGUAACUUAGACAGCACACUGCAGGUAUAACCUAUUUGUAAGUAUAUUGGGAGUCGUAAAUGAACUGUACCUAAAAAAACUUCUGGUUUUAGGGUUCACUUAAAUACUUGCAGACCAUCAUUGUGAUCUUAAAAACUUCCCCCUUUCAAGCUAAAGAUUUGUGGUGUUAGUGGAUUUACAUAGUUAAAAACAUGCAAAUUACAAGCUAAUGCCUUUGAAUUUGAUAUUUCAUUCUCUGUGUCUCCAGGUGUGCUCUUCCACAGUAAUGUUAAUGUUAAUUAUUGACCUUCUAAGUGACAGUCACAUUUAACAUUGUAAUGUAAUUACAUAGUGUCUGACUGUAUAUUAAAAAAAUAACUAGUGGAAUAUUACAUAAACCCCGAAGAAUAGGUGAUGCAGGUGUGACAUACAGCUAAAAGAGUUUAAAUAAAACUUCUCUUUAUGAUCUGCUGAAGAAUAGAAUAUGAUGUGGUGGCUAAAGCAGCAGAAUUCCCUUGUCUUUCAUAUUGGUCUCUAAUUGGCCAUAAUAAUUUGCUUCAUCUCAUUAUGUAUUGCUCAAAUAUUUGCAACCUUGUCACAAUUCACUUGAAAAUCAAGGGUGUUUCAGUCUUGUUGGAGACAAUUGAAUAAAAACUCUGUAGCUGCUUUGUAGGUAAUUGCAUGAGAAAUCACUCAAAGCCCUGCAGCCGUGUUUCCCAAGCACUCAGCCUGCUUCAUCAGCAAGCUGCUUUGUAAACUUGGGUGGUUGACAGUAUCACCAAACCAAUUUUGAAACUCUUGGGAGGUCUUCAGGUAAAUCUUCCAUUCUAUUUUAAGGGUCUCUCAAAGGACACAACAAAUUCAAUGCAAAGCAGUCCCACUGUAGUUGACAGGGGGUUUCUGAAAGCACCUGCCUGCGGAGGCAGGAGCAUCCGCUUGUCCCCUUCUAGAGAGCUGAGGCCAGGAGGCUGAAUAAGGAACAUACACAGGGAUGAGUAGAGAAGAAAGCAUCAUUUUGUGGCUGGUUAGUCUCUGGGCUGUCCAGACAAACAAGACCUACAGAGGAUCCAGGACAAUUUCCCCAGAAAAAGUAUAUUUUGGGAGGGGUGGAAUAAAGGAACAUGCACGCCUUAAAAUAAUUUUUUGCUUUGCUAUAGAAGGAUUUCAAUUCCCUCUCCAUAUUACCUGUGAUGCAUGGUCUUACAUAAGAGCAACAGCAUAGUGUAGAGAGAUUUUAUUUUCAUUCUCUCCCUGCAGUCUCUAGGUUCAGGAGAAUAGCAAUUCCCACAGAUAUGAUAAUAUCCAACAGAAACAAAAGCAUUUGGAGUGAAUCUGAGAUACAUGUGUAAGCCCCAUGGCACAUGGUUUGAUACAAGAAAGCAUACUAUUUUUCACAGAAGGGCUUUCUGGAAUUUCCCCACACUGGAAAGAUGUUAUAAUUCAGGUUUUCACAAGGGCAAGUAUUUAUAAGCAAUUUCAAAUUUCAAGCAGGAAUAGUGGGAUUCAUACAGAGAGCUAAGCCCAGAAUAUUUUCUUGCCUGUUAACUUAUAAACACAAUUAUAAGAGUUUGCAUUCCAAAUGUUUUGACUGCUUUGCCAUACCUUGCUGGCUUACUCCCUUGUUGCUCAUUAGAAAUAUUAUUUCACAAUGAAACAGAAAAAUAUCUGGGAAAGAGGCUCUGGCAUGUGUCUUGGUGUGCUUUUUAGGUGCUUAACUACUUCUGGAUGAACAAGUGUAGCUUCUCCGUUUCCUCAUUUUGGAUUGGCAAACCUAAGGGCUCCCCUUGUUUUCAGGUAUAAAAACACACUGAAAUUACUACUGAAAUAUUUCUUUGCUUUACAAAAGAUUUUGCUAAUCUGUGAAGGCAAUCUCCUUAUUUCUUUGGUGGUAUUUUAGGUGCUAGAAAAAUAAAGGCGACUUUUGGGGAUGAAAGAAAAAAAAAAUAUUCCUGUUAGAAUUCCAAGUUUUCCCAUAUCUAAUGAUUUCAAACAUUGUUCUGAUUUUUUUUAUGGUGCAAUUUUAUGGUAUAGUGGUACAAUUCCAGUCUGAAAGCAGUUGGUGGCAAUUUAUGAAAAUUUGCUAUAGAAUUAUAUUGAAAACUUUUUUUUUGCAGCAUUACUCAUAGUCUGAUUACAUGCAAGUGAAAAAUAUUGGAGUCCUGGUGCUGGGAGUGCAGCAGCAGGACUUUUUUACUAAUCUUUCUCUCUGAAUUAGAAAAAGCUGUCACUAUUUCACUAUUCUUUUUAUUAGUCAUUGUUACAUAGAUAACAUGUUUUUCCCACAUGCCUCUCUCAUCAUCUUUUUGGGAGGAAAGUGAACUAAUUAUGGUGUCAUAGCUGCAGUGAAGCUAUUCUCAUUCAUAUUAUCUUUAUUCUCUCAAAAGGCUUUUUUUCACUAUCUUUAAAAUACUUAGUAGAUACACAAUAGAUAUCUUCACGAGACAAAUGGCUUUUUUGGGGAGUAAUUAAUCAUAAUUUCCCACAUAUUCUAAUAAUUAGCUAUUGGAUAAUGCAUUUUUAUGUAUUUAAAUGAGGAUUAAAGUCAUUACAGUCUGCAAAAUAAACAACAUAAUUGAAAUGGACUAAUAAAAACACCGCUAUAAAAAUCACUGGGUUUAUAUGUGUCUGUAAUAAAUGAUAAUGGGCUGAGAGGGAAACAAUGCAUUGGAAAAUCAGAUUAGAGUGACUGCCAAAAAAUAAUGGUUUAAAAUCACCAGGCAUUAUACAAGAAGUUGCUCUUGCAACUUAUCAUUCUUUGCAUGGAGAAGUUUUUAUAAAUUAAGACUGAUUAUUUUUCAUCUUAGCCCAGUGAGACUUUUCAUUCAUGUUGAAAUAAAUAUUUUUUUCCUCUUGUUUGUAAUUUUGCUCAUUUACUUUAUUUUUCUUACAAAUAGACAUCCUUCCACUCCUCCAUUCCACAUCAGUUUUUAUUCUGAGUAGAAGAUGAAAAGUCUGAAGGAUCUAUGGCUAAGCAGUUAAACAGAUUUUCACUGACACUUUUUUUUUCUAAAUAUAUUUUUCCAGAUAGCAUAAAAUUAAAAAAAAAACACAACAACAACAACACACACAAAAAACCCCAACAAAAACAAACAAACAAAAAAAAACCACCAAGCAAAACCCAGAGUUAUCAUAAGUAGUAUAGAACUGGUGGUUGUGUUUUUAUUGUAGUUUUGUUUUUCAGCCUCAAUAAUCUGCUUUCCUUGGCUACUAACAUCUGACCCAGAAGUACACACACACACACACACACAGGUCCAAGAAGAGUUAUUUUCUGAGGAUUUAUUUUUCUGAUUUUUUGACUCCUAGUGAUUGGAUUGGAAUGUAGGUUUCUGGGCAUUGGGUUGUUUGGUGGUUUGUUGUUUGGGUUUGUUUUUUUUUUUAAUUAACUGUAUCUGUAUCUCAAACUUACAUAGAUUGCUUAAUUUAUUUUCACUAUAAGUAUUCUGUUGGUAAAAUGCCCCUGGAAUUCUUCCCAGCUGGACUGGAGACAACAUGAAGAAUAUUUGUUUCACAACAUGUCUCUUUCUCCUACAAAAUCUGUUCCCUUUUUAUUUCUGGGAUUAAAGUGUGUCUGUUUCUGCACAACUACUUAUAGUUGUUUUGCUUCUGGAGAAGAGCUAUUUCCUGAGUUUUUGUAUUUCAGGUUAUCUCCAGAGUGUGCUCCAGGAUGACAAAAGUAAUUCCAUAAUUUGGACCUCAGUAGCAGAGAUAUGAGCAUCAAUCUCAGGGCCAAAUAUGAUAUCAACUUAUAAUUUUUUGUGCCAAACACUCACAUCCCCAAUGAAAAAUUGAUGAGUAAAAUUCUUCUAAUAUUUCUCACAUUUUUAGUAUGAGUUGGCCCCACUCAUGUCUUGGAGUUUCGUUUGCUGUCAGCGUUCUACCAAAAGAAUUCACUGAGCAGCAUGUCUAUGGAUUUUGGUUGGCUGCAGGCCACCUACAAAGAAUAAGACCCCACACCAGUCUGAUUAGGAUCUGAAAUAAACCACUGUGUUCUAUAUACAGAGCUCAUAUUUAAGUUAUUAAAUAUUCAGAAUGAUGUUGGCCUCAAAUUUUCAAAACUCAGGACUAGGAAAUACAUGUAAUCUAAGAAACGUGAGACGCUGAGUUACCAAUAAAUUAUCCUUUUAGCUGGGAGGAGCAGAGAGGCUAUGGCCAGUCUCCUGUUUAGGCACUGACAUUGAAAUGUUUCACUACCUAACAAUGUGGCAGCCGUCCCUGAGUGAUGAUCUUGAGCAGACAGGUCAGGCACUAAGGUUUCCCCACAGGAGUGCUGUAUGCAGCUGCACAGCAUUGGGUACCUCUUGACAGAGGUGACAAACUGAGCUGCUUACCACUGAGAAAGGAUACCUGUCAAAGUGUGGUUGAACUUUUUCCCAUCCUGGCACUUAGGGACCUAAAAGAAGAUGAAAUUCUGGUACUCUGCACCUAGUCAUCACUGAAAACACCUUAAUAUUCUAGAGGGGGAAACAGGAGUCAAGUAUUUUCUCAGCUCAGAAGGGGCUGAAUGACCAAGUGCUAGCUGGGUGUGUUGGCAGAGGGUGGGCACCAGUUUCUCUUCCUGCUGAAGUUUGAGCCAUUCUGUAUGGAGAGCUUUAUCUACCCUAAACUAAAAGGGAAUUGUCCCUUGGUCAUUGUAAUGAACUGAGACAUUGAGAUAUGCAGGCCAUUUAUACAAAACUGUAAAACCAUAAAAAUUAUAAAGGAAAGCCAGAACAAUGGUGGUGAGAUGUUCAGGUUUUGGGAACCGGGUCUCUGAGCCCAGUGAGAAAAACAUUAUUGUACAUGCUGAAGUUAUGUCCCAUAAAGAAGGAAAAGGUCCUUUCAUGUAGGAGGUAACACAUCUAGAUAUGUAAGAAUGUCACUUUGUCUCAGUGUGCUACCAUAGCAUGGAUGUUAGCACUCCACGUAGAUGAAAUGACACUGCCAUAAUGCUCCAGACACUGCAGACCUACUUGUCUUUGUUCUUGCAUCUUUCACAGCCUUCCAGGAAUGCCAAUGCCUACGUUUGUCUAUAAGAAUAAGUCACUGAUUCAAUUAGAGUGAUAAGUGGUGUGUCUGCACGAGGGCAGAGAAAGUACACAGCGCCAUUUCAAGCAAAGUGCCCUUGAAGAUUUUAUCACUCAUAACCUACUGUUCCCACUGCCCUGCAGAAGGAGCCGCUUUUCCAUAUAUCAUUAUUUGUGCAGGAAGGUCAUGCUUUUGUUGGUAUGCUGCUCAGGGCUUUCUGCAAAAAGCAAAACAUUUUGGUAAUACAAAAGCUGUUGGACUUCUUUUUCUUUAAGCUAUAUCACAGUGAACAAGAGCACCUUUCUCUGCCCCAGGCUCUUAGGAGAGAUAGCCAGACAAGAAAUAGUGACUGGUUGCAAAGUUGGUUUUAGGGGUGAACAAUCAGGGCUUGAUGGGCAUCCCUGGGCCUGUUAUGUAGUUGUGCAAGUCACAGUAGAAUUGGACAGAAAAAGGGAAGGCUUUUUACUUUAACCCAUGGAUAGGCUCCAAAAAGCCUGAUGCCAGCUCUCUGAGAAUGACAGUAAAUACUAGGGAAGUGCUUAACAUCUCUUGGCUGUGAUUUCCAAAUUUAUGAGCAAACAGUCACAGGUAGCCCCAAAGAGUAACCUGUCUGCAAGACACAGAGUUGUAACUGGCUUUUCUGUAUGUAACCUUGUUCUACUAGGGGUUUAACAUUCCUCAGAAAGUUAUGCAUCUGAUACCCAUUGCCCCCAUAUUUCCUUUAAUAUAUCAGUGGGAUAGCACUUUGUGAUUAGGAACCUUCUGCUGGAAGUUAGCUGUCAGUGGGGUCAUCUCCUCUUGUACAGAAAAGGAGCUUUAAAUAUCAUCUUGCUCCAAACAGUUCCGUGAGAUCCAUUUUGCAUGGCUGUAGGAACAACAAAAGAUGAAUUUCAAAGAUGAGCAGUAUGACACUGCUCCCGGGCUGUGUAAGCUCUCAACUGGAGAUUAGCAGCAAAAUGAAGAAAAAGCUGACAUAAAUGCAGGGAAUGUGCUAGGCAGUAUUUGAUCAUCAGCUGUAACAGCAGAGAAAUUAUGCAGUUUCCCAGGGCUAAGCCCCACCUCUUAUGGGGCUUAUACCAAGCAGAUAAACUCAGUAAUUGGAAAGGACAGACCUACAACAGCUUCUCAUAUCCCAUCACACUGGCAUAUAAAAACAAACUAUGUACUCAGAUCCACCUUGUAAACCUGCUGUGGUCAUGGAGGCAAUGCAGGUGUAAUUUUACCAUUAAAACAGAUCUUCUACAUCAGUCUUGCUCCAGAAUUCACAAACCCUGCUGUUCUUGGGUUGUUCAUGGUGUAAAGGCUUUAGAUAAAAGCAGAUUUUUUUUUUUUUACAGUCCUUCAUUUUGUCUGUAUUAGCCAAAUCAGAAAUGGUGAGAUAAUUCCAUUAUGUUAAGAUAAACCAAAAACUUUAUUAUUUUUAUGAUCUAGCCUCUGAGUACUUACCAUCAGUGUGAAGAGUUGCUCUCUCUGUAGCUCAUUUUUGGUUUUAUAGUUGGCUAAGUUCUAGGUCAUAGCCCAAUUGGCUGGCAACAGCAAUGUGUGUAGAACUGCACUCACAAAGACACUUUUGUUGCUUGCUUCAGGGAGUACAAAGACACUUUUUUGCUAUUAAUUUUAUGUAACCAUCCCCCUUAUGUCUAUACCUAUAGUGUUUAUAUUCAGCCCACAAGUGACAUCAGUGCAGUAUAAUCUCUGUUCUGAAGUCCUGGAGGCUCUGACAGUAAGCAUGGCCUGAUGCUGUGAUUUCCAUAGUCCAUAAAAAUAUCAAAUAAAUGGGAAAUUUCCUCAGCUGCUUGACUGUGCAGCAAACUGAGUGAUGUAACCAUAAUCUUUCCUUGACCCAGUUUAAAGAAACAGCCUAUAAAGCUAGGUUCCAUAUUCAUUUUAGAUUCCUACACUGUACACAGUAAGUGUAAAUUCACAAUCCUGCCAAUUAUUUGUUUUGAUAAAUUCUAGGAUGUGACAGUUUUUCACCACAGAAUUCUCUUGCUGCUCACAAUAAUCAAUCAAACUCUGGGAACCGACAGCCAAAACCAACAGAGGCAGCAAAUCUGGAUCCCAGGCAAUACCAGGCAAUAGAAGAGCAGCAGUACCAUUGGUCAUAGUAAAGUCAACUCAAGCAAACUUAUAUUUUAAAUAUAUAGCAAACUACAUUUAGAAACUAGUUGUAGUUUAUUUAUAUAGUUACAUGACUAUAUGUUAAACUAUAGUUCUAAAAUUUUUCUUUGCAUUCAUAAUCUAUUAUGCUCUCAUUAGCAUUUGUUUUCCCUCCCUUUCUCUAUUCCUUAUCAUUUGUUUCCUAUGACAGGUGAGUUUUUUGGCCAAUUCUUUGUAGCAUUCUUGUGGGAAGUUCUCUCAGCAACUGUGCUUUAAGCAGGCUCUUAGUGUGGUUGAAUUUUGACUCUGGCAAUAAGGAGCUAAUUUUUGCAGCCACCUAUUUGGCUCAGCAAAGACCCCCUUUGAGGCUCUCUUUUCAUUCUUGACUGUUUCAGGCUGCCACUAAUCACUAUGAGAACUCAAUGGCACUGGAUUUCUCCAGCCUAAUUGUGUUUAGCUGAGUAUGAGGAAGUAUCACAAGGUGCUUUGGACAGCGUGAGACUCAUUUCCUUUAAAUCUGUAGUGAAUCAACAGACUAAAGCAGUGCAGCAAAGCAAUUUGGGAGCAAUGGGAGCUAUCUACAGUACAAAAAAGCACCUUCUGGCAGCUGGGGAUUUAAUGUAAUGGGGAUGAAUGGUUGUUGCUUGGAGAUCUUAAUUCCUAUCACACAAAUUUUGCUGUAUUUAUGUUGGUGUUUUUAACCAAGGGGAAAAGGCGGUUUCAUGAAAGUUCUAAUUCUUAUUGAUUAGUGCAAUGCUGAAAAAAAAUCUCAAACUUUCUUCCAGUGUAAGUAACUUCGUUAAGGAAAUUACUCUGUUGACCUUUAUCUUGUCUCAUUUGCAAUACAUAGGCUGCUUUUUAAACUUUCACAUUUGUGAGACCAGCUCAUUCUACCCUUUGGGAUGAAUGCCAUGGGAUACCUCAGGGCAAUGGGAAUCCCAAGUAGUAGCUGUCUGUCUGGAAAAAUAGCAAAUACUGAUACACGUUUUGCAUGUUUUUCAUCAAUAUAUAACAUCCAAACCCAGGAGGAGAUAAUACCGCGUGAAGAAUAAUUUCUUCCUUGUCCUCUAUGAAAGCAUUUUGUGAAACUAUUUUUGUAAACAAAUCUGGUACAGGAAUAUAGCUGCAGUAAAGACCACCUCUCUAGACCAUCCCUGCUGAGCUGUUCAUGCUGUAGUGCCCUAAACAGUCCUUCUCCUUCUUUGGUAUGCUUUUAUUAUUGUGUUUGCAAUUCAGUUUAUUUUGAUUAAUCAUUUGUUCUGAUUUCUUUAUAUUUUUAAAAUUAUGACCUAUGUUUUCACAUUAUUUGUUUUCAUUUAUGUCCUCUUCCAUUUCUAACUGUUUGCUUCUCUUUUUUUAUAGGCCUUCCUAAAGUGGUAUGAUUUAUUUUUCAAUUCCUUCUGAACUAGAUGUUUAAUAUUUCCUGUAUCAAGUUAUUUUUAGCCUUUAUGCACGUCUCUGCAACACUCUUGUUUUGAUAUUUCUCUUGUUUAAAUCAUGGGAUCAAAUAUGCAUGUCUUUGGCAAACCCUUUAUAUUUACUGCAGCACUGCUGUUUUGCUGAUGUUUCCAUUCCACCGCCUACACUUCAUUUGAAACAGGAGUGUUGCUGCUACUU